UCCUUCUACGGCACCAGCUGCGUUUCCUUUGCUCUCUGGGUUUGUUGCCUUGUUCAGCAGCACCUGAGGCGAGUGUUAGAGCCCGUCUGGUUCAUCCAAUCUACAGCCCAGCUCUCAGUUUAGACCGUGCAGGGUGAAGUGGAAGGAGAAUGGCAGUGAAGAUCUCCAUCCAGGGAGCAGGAAGAGAGGUGAAGGAAAUUUCAUCUAAAAUCUCCAGUUUGGAUCAGCCUCCAUGA
rnacentral:lncRNA from 1 species